GACGAACGCUGGCGGCGUGCUUAACACAUGCAAGUCGAACGGAAAGGCCCUGCUUUUGUGGGGUGCUCGAGUGGCGAACGGGUGAGUAACACGUGAGUAACCUGCCCUUGACUUUGGGAUAACUUCAGGAAACUGGGGCUAAUACCGGAUAGGAGCUCCUGCUGCAUGGUGGGGGUUGGAAAGUUUCGGCGGUUGGGGAUGGACUCGCGGCUUAUCAGCUUGUUGGUGGGGUAGUGGCUUACCAAGGCUUUGACGGGUAGCCGGCCUGAGAGGGUGACCGGCCACAUGGGGAAUGAGAUACGGCCCAGACUCCGACGGGAGGCAGCAGUGGGGAAUAUUGAACAAUGGGCGGAAGCCUGAUGCAGCAACGCCGCGUGGGGGAUGACGGCCUUCGGGUUGUAAACCGCUUUCGCCGGUGACGAAGCGGGAGUGACGGUAAGGGGUAAAGAAGCACCGGCUAACUACGU
rnacentral:rRNA from 1 species